GUGUAUUUUAUACUGAUAACAAGUUCAAACAGGUGCCAUUAAUACAGGUAACGAGUGGAGGACAGAGGAGCCUCUUAAAGAAGAAGUUACAGGUCUGUGAGAGCCAGAAAUCUUGCUUUUUUGUAGGUGACCAAAUACUUAUUUUCCACCAUCAUUUGCAAAUAAAUUCAUUAAAAAUCCUACAAUGUGAUUUUCUGGAUUUUUUUUCUUCUAAUUUUGUCUGUCAUAGUUGAUGUGUACCUGUGAUGAAAUUACAGGCCUCUCUCAUCUUUUUAAGUGGGAGAACUUGCACAAUUGGUGGCUGACUAAAUACUUUUUUGGCCCACUGUACCUGUCCACCCCCAAAAGGUGUUCUAGUGGGAUUACCAGCCUACGUUUCAUUUAUCUUAAUGUGUUUAGAAAAGUAUUUUUAUAAUACCGCUGUGAGAUCAUGCUCUGUAAGUGUUACUGUAAUCUUUUAUUUUUCAAAACAAUGUGUAAAAGAUGUUUGAAUCAAUUAAUAUAAUCUCAGUGUAGUGGUACCUACCUACUACUGCCAACAACCAACUUUGGGUGGACCGAUUGUAAUUGUGGAAACCCAUUCCUUGUACAGGGCUACUCAGGAGCAGUGGGUUUAACUGGGAGACCUGGUCAUUUUGGAGAGAGGGUAAGAACCCCUACAGUUCUACAGAAUGUUAGCAUUGGUAUGUUAGUAAUAAUGGCUGUUCGUUUGCAUGAAUGCCACCUGUCUGUCUGUCUGUCUGUCUACCCCAAGCGAGAACCUGGUGUGAGAGGCCCCGCUGGUAUCCCUGGGAAGAGUGGACCACCGGUAAGUACACUGUACUGACAUUCACAUUGUGGAGAGAAUAGUCUAAACUGAUACUGGUGUAAAUUGAUACAUAGGGGAUGAUUUUGAGCUGUCUUACAGGGAUUGAAGGCACCUCAUAGGGAGAGAGGGCCAAAUUGACCUCGGGUGAGGAAACGUUAGUCCUUCAAAGCUCUUCACUCAUUUGAUGUUUCAGACAUACUGGCUGAGUUGUUCUUCUGUGUACACAACCUGUGAUUGUGAUUUCUCUAGUUUGUCUUCCUUAGGGCCGUCAAGGAGAGACUGGACACAAUGGCAUACAGGGAUCACCCGGUCCUCUAGGCCUCCCAGGGCUAGAGGGCAGGACAGGAAAGCCAGGCCCUUCAGGAAGCCAGGGGCUUGUGGGGGCACAGGGGUCAGCUGGGCCCAUCGGAUUACCAGGCACUCCUGGGAUGGAUGGUGUGAUGGGGCAGGUUGGAGAAAAGGAGAACAGGGAGCAGCAGGGCCUGUUGGGGACAGUGGGAUAUCUGGACUGGACAGACAGCAGGGUCCCCCAGGAACAGUUGGUGAGGAGGGGCUGUCUGGGGAAAAGGGGGAACAGGGUGCUCCAGGUCUCUUUGGAAAGCCAGGGCCCAAGGGACUCCAGGGAGAGCCAGGGCCACAGGGCUCCCAGGGGCUGCAGGGGGAGCCUGGGCCAAGGGGCAAAGAGGUCAGCUGUCUACCAAGCUCAUCUACACGCACAGGCUGCCAUGAUCAGGUUGGAAUGUGGUUUCAUGGUGUUCUGUGA
rnacentral:lncRNA from 8 species